GACGAACGCUGGCGGCGUGCCUAAUACAUGCAAGUAGAACGCACAGUUUAUACCGUAGCUUGCUACACCAUAGACUGUGAGUUGCGAACGGGUGAGUAACGCGUAGGUAACCUGCCUGGUAGCGGGGGAUAACUAUUGGAAACGAUAGCUAAUACCGCAUAAUAUUGAUUAUUGCAUGAUAAUUGAUUGAAAGAUGCUAUUGCAUCACUACCAGAUGGACCUGCGUUGUAUUAGCUAGUAGGUGAGGUAACGGCUCACCUAGGCGACGAUACAUAGCCGACCUGGGAGGGUGGUCGGCCACACUGGGACUGAGACACGGCCCAGACUCCUUCGGGGGGCAGCAGUAGGGAAUCUUUGGCAAUGGACGAAAGUCUGGCCGCGCAACGCCGCGGGAGUGGAGAAGGUUUUCGGAUCGUAAAGCUCUGUUGUAAGAGAAGAACGGGUGUGAGAGUGGAAAGUUCACACUGUGACGGUAGCUUACCAGAAAGCGACGGCUAACUACGUG
rnacentral:rRNA from 1 species